rnacentral:rRNA from 1 species
GACGAACCGUGCGAACGUUAUUCGGAAUCACUGGGCUUAAAGGGCGCGUAGGCGGGUCCGUAAGUCAGGGGUGAAAUCCCACGGCCCAACCGUGGAAGUGCCUCUGAUACUGCGGGCCUCGAGGGGGAUAGGGGCGUGCGGAACUCAGGGUGGAGCGGUGAAAUGCGUAGAUAUCCUGAGGAACACCGGUGGCGAAAGCGGCGCGCUGGAUCCCUUCUGACGCUGAGGCGCGAAGGCCAGGGGAGCAAACGGG